rnacentral:rRNA from 1 species
AUUGAACGCUGGCGGCAUGCUUUACACAUGCAAGUCGAACGGUAACGCGGGGCAACCUGGCGACGAGUGGCGAACGGGUGAGUAAUACAUCGGAACGUGCCCAGUAGUGGGGGAUAGCCCGGCGAAAGCCGGAUUAAUACCGCAUACGACCUACGGGUGAAAGCGGGGGAUCGCAAGACCUCGCGCUAUUGGAGCGGCCGAUGUCAGAUUAGCUAGUUGGUGGGGUAAAAGCCUACCAAGGCGACGAUCUGUAGCUGGUCUGAGAGGACGACCAGCCACACUGGGACUGAGACACGGCCCAGACUCCUACGGGAGGCAGCAGUGGGGAAUUUUGGACAAUGGGGGCAACCCUGAUCCAGCCAUGCCGCGUGCGGGAAGAAGGCCUCGGUUGUAA